rnacentral:rRNA from 1 species
UACGGAGGAUGCGAGCGUUAUCCGGAUUUAUUGGGUUUAAAGGGUGCGCAGGCGGGGGAAUAAGUCAGUGGUGAAAAGCUGCCGCUCAACGGUAGUCUUGCCAAUGAUACUGUUUUUCUUGAGUAUGGUUAAGGUAGGCGGAAUGUGCAGUGUAGCGGUGAAAUGCAUAGAGAUAUGGAGGAACACCAGUGGCGAAGGCGGCUUCCUGGUCUGUAACUGACACUGAGGCGCGAAAGCGUGGGGAGGCAAACAGGAUUAGAUA